GAGACGGACUGUGUCGUGCGUGUGCCUGUGCGUGUGCGUGUGCAAGAGUGAGUAAGAGACCCGGGGAAACGUCAUCUGCCUGGACCGGACUACCGGACUGCCAGCAUACGAGCACCGGCCGGGAGGGAGGAGGGACAGUGGCUCCACUGUGCAGCCGGACAGAGAGGCACUGUGCUCGGACAGGAAGCCGCCGCAGCUCCCGGGGUCUGGAUGCUGGAGGACGCCGCGGAAAGUGACACCAGGAGCAGUUGUUUAGACUGACGGACGAAGAAGAUGGCUUCUUCUCCGGUCACCCCGGCCUCGCUCGAAGGAGGGACACCUUCACCCACCGGAAAUGAGGAGACCACCGCGACCACCCGACAGGAGGAAGCCGGAGAACCCAGAAAAAAUCCACACAUGCACAGGGAGAACAUGCAAAAUCCAUGCAGAAAGAUACCAGGAAUGCCGG
ensembl:lncRNA